GAUGAAGAACGCAGCGAAAUGCGAUACGUAAUGUGAAUUGCAGAAUUCAGUGAAUCAUCGAGUCUUUGAACGCACAUUGCGCCCCCUGGUAUUCCGGGGGGCAUGCCUGUCCGAGCGUCAUUGCUGCCCUCAAGCACGGCUUGUGUGUUGGGCCUCCGUCCUCCUCCCGGGGGACGGGCCCGAAAGGCAGCGGCGGCACCGCGUCCGGUCCUCGAGCGUAUGGGGCUUCGUCACCCGCUCUUGUAGGCCCGGCCGGCGCUUGCCGACACAUCAAUCUUUUUUCCAGGUUGACCUCGGGUCAGGUAGGGAUACCCGCUGAACUUAAGCAUAUCAAUAAGCGGAGGA
rnacentral:misc_RNA from 1 species